AACGUAGGACACAAGCGUUAUCCGGAUUUACUGGGCGUAAAGGGCGUGCAGGCGGUUUCUUAAGUCAGGCGUGAAACCACCCGGCUAAACCGGGUGUAGUCGUCUGAGACUGGGAGACUAGAGUGUGGUAGAGGCGUGUAGAAUUCCGGGUGUAGUGGUGAAAUGCGUAGAUAUCCGGAGGAAUACCAGUGGCGAAGGCGGCACGCUGGGCCAUAACUGACGCUAAGGCGCGAAUGCAUGGGUAGCGAACGGG
rnacentral:rRNA from 1 species